UAUUAAGUAGCUCAGGGGUAGAGCAGCGAAGAGAUUUCGUUAGACAUGGGUUCGAAUCCCAUCUCAAUAA
rnacentral:tRNA from 1 species